CGUGUAGGCGGCCAAGCAAGUCAGAGGUGAAAGCCCUGGGCUCAACCUGGGAACUGCCUUUGAAACUGUUUGGCUUGAGACCGGAAGAGGAUGGCGGAAUUCCCAGUGUAGAGGUGAAAUUCAUAGAUAUUGGGAAGAACACCGGUGGCGAGGGCGGCCAUCUGGUCCGGUUCUGACGCUGAGGCGCGAAAGCGUGGGGAGCAAACA
rnacentral:rRNA from 1 species